AUCAGGAAGUUCGUUGUCUGGUAGAGGAGACAUUGUCCUUGCCCUUAGCGAACAGCAAGUAAGUUAGCCGUUCACGUCGCGGAAAGAGGUAAAACCAUUCUCCAGAAGCUGUAGCUCCAAAGAAUCCCCAGUUUCACUCAACGCAUUUAAUUUCCCACUAUUACUGUUAUUUUGCACUUCCUGGUGUGUUCUGAGGUCAGUCGUGGAUGCUCUGGCUCCCAGACUAGGGUCAACUCGAGUGUCUCCUGCCAACAACUUAUCUGGAAGGACCAUGACUUUCUGGACUCAGAAGAUCCAAUUCUUCAGCUGUGCCAUCUCCAUUGGUUCUUCUUCCACUGUCCUGGUCCUCAAUUCCUGGUGUUAUGGCUUUAG